CAGCCGCCGCGGUAAUACCAGCACCCCGAGUGGUCGGGACGUUUAUUGGGCCUAAAGCAUCCGUAGCCGGUUCUGCAAGUCUUCCGUUAAAUCCACCUGCUUAACAGAUGGGCUGCGGAAGAUACUACAGAGCUAGGAGGCGGGAGAGGCAAGCGGUACUCGAUGGGUAGGGGUAAAAUCCGUUGAUCCAUUGAAGACCACCAGUGGCGAAGGCGGCCAGCUAGAACGCGCCCGACGGUGAGGGACGAAAGCUGGGGGAGCAAACCGGAUUAGAUACCCGGGUAGUCCCAGCUGUAAACGAUGCAGACUAGGUGUUGGAACGGCUACGUGCCGCUUCAGUGCCGCAGAGAAGUCAUUAAGUCUGCCGCCUGGGGAGUACGGCCGCAAGGCUGAAACUUAAAGGAAUUGGCGGGGGAGCAC
rnacentral:rRNA from 2 species